GCCAGCAGCCGCGGUAAUUCCAGCUCCAAUAGCGUAUAUUAAAGUUGUUGCAGUUAAAAAGCUCGUAGUUGAAACUUGGGCCUGGCUGUCCGGUCCGCCUCACCGCGUGCACUGGCUCGGCCGGGCCUUUCCUUCUGGGGAGCCGCAUGCCCUUCAUUGGGUGUGUCGGGGAACCAGGACUUUUACUUUGAAAAAAUUAGAGUGUUCAAAGCAGGCAUAUGCUCGAAUACAUUAGCAUGGAAUAAUAGAAUAGGACGUGUGGUUCUAUUUUGUUGGUUUCUAGGACCGCCGUAAUGAUUAAUAGGGAUAGUCGGGGGCGUCUGUAUUCAGCUGUCAGAGGUGAAAUUCUUGGAUUUGCUGAAGACAAACUACUGCGAAAGCAUUCGCCAAGGAUGUUUUCAUUAAUCAGUGAACGAAAGUUAGGGGAUCGAAGACGAUUAUUUGGUCGUCCACAGUUAGUACUAGUUGGGGGGCUUUGCCCCCUGGCCACACCAACAAACUGUUGGGGCUUCCACGGGUCCUCCCCGUGGCAGAACCCACAGCCAAGCUCCUCGUGGAGCGCAGUCUACAGACUGGAUGUUGGUGGGCGGCUUCCUGGGGAGCCGUCUGCAAUAUAGCCGAGUCCCGCCGAUUGUUCGGCGGGCGUUCACGCAGAUACCGUCGUAGUCUUAACCAUAAACUAUGCCGACUAGGGAUCGGACGGUGUUAUUAUUUUGACCCGUUCGGCACCUUACGAGAAAUCAAAGUCUUUGGGUUCUGGGGGGAGUAUGGUCGCAAGGCUGAAACUUAAAGACAUUGACGGAAGGGCACCACCAGGCGUAAAGAUUGCUCGACUCUGCGCCUGAGCUGUGGCCCAUAAAGUCGACUUCGGUCGCGCUACACACCCAUUCUGCGAGGAGCUCUCUAGGCGGUAGGUACUCCCCCGGUGUCGAAAGACCCUGGGUAUAGUUACAAUCCUGCUUCGCCGAUUGAGGGGGUAUUCGCAGCCAAGCACCUAAGGCUUUGCUAUGGCGCCUGGUUCAGAGAUUAGUUGGGAGUGGAUGGCAUAACCAUCUAAGCUAUAAUCCGUCCCAUGGCGAUUAGCCGUCGGGAUUACACGGGAGCCUGCGGCUUAAUUUGACUCAACACGGGGAAACUCACCAGGUCCAGAUUUGAUAAGGAUUGACAGAUUGAGAGCUCUUUCUUGAUUUCAAAGGUGGUGGUGCAUGGCCGUUCUUAGUUGGUGGAGUGAUUUGUCUGCUUAAUUGCGAUAACGAACGAGACCUUAACCUGCUAAAUAGCCAGGUCAGCUUUGGCUGGCCGCCGGCUUCUUAGAGGGACUAUCGGCUCAAGCCGAUGGAAGUUUGAGGCAAUAACAGGUUAAACCCUUCCUUCACAGGCCUGUUUCAAGACCAUGCCCUGCAUGGCGGUCGUACAUCCGCUACGGCUUCACAUCACUGGUACCGAGGACGUCUUUCGAGAUUGAUUCGGUGGCGAGUCGCAGGACCGCCUCAACGCAUGCAAAGUGGUGGGCUUCUCUGUCGAGACGCUUUAGGUACAUGCUGACCCUCCAGUCAAUGGAGUAGCACCGUCCCAAUGGGCCGAUGUUGGAGAAAAGCUGUGAUGCCCUAGGAUACGUCUAGGGGCUGAUAAGUGUUGCACUAGUUGCCUUUGAGCAGCAACACUGCCACUCUGGCGGGAAGGCCCUUCUCCGGGCUAACCCGCAGCCACCUCCCGGGUGUGGCACAGAGGCUAAAUGGUGGUGGGCGCCUCGGCGCUUUAGAUAUGGUCCAACGCUCGCCGUCGCCGGCGAGCCCUUCGUGUAGAUGUUCUGGGCCGCACGCGCGCUACACUGACAGAGACAACGAGUUCAUCACCUUGGCCGGAAGGUCUGGGUAAUCUUGUUAAACUCUGUCGUGCUGGGGAUAGAGCAUUGCAAUUAUUGCUCUUCAACGAGGAAUGCCUAGUAAGCGCAAGUCAUCAGCUUGCGUUGAUUACGUCCCUGGAAGUUUCACAGCGGGGACGUCCCCAGUGCCCUUUGGGGUGCCAUGCCUUCAUUCUCCGGGGUCAACCCGCAGCUGCCUGUUACCGGUGCAGCCUAGAGACUAGACGAAGGUAGGCCGGCCAUGAUCGCCGGUUUCCGAUAUAGCCCGCCCCGAGCUGCCGAGCUCGAGAUCUAGCGGCCCUUUGUACACACCGCCCGUCGCUACUACCGAUUGAAUGGCUCAGUGAGGCCUUCGGACUGGCCCCAGGAGGUCGGCAACGACCACCCAGGGCCGGAAAGUUGGUCAAACUUGGUCAUUUAGAGGAAGUAAAAGUCGUAACAAGGUUUCGUUUCGCCCUAUCGGAAGCCUUGUGCAGAACAGUCUGUCUUCCAUGGCAGGCGACGCUUGAGUGAUGCUGGGAGAAGAUUCCUUGGGAGCUCAACCAGCAGCCGUUAUGCCCGCAUUUCGGCCCACAGAUCAUCUUCAGGCGGUCUCCCCUCCCCGCGGGAUUAAGAUAUGACCGGUCCCACCUGGCAAUGGGUGGGAUCUUCGUUCCGUAGGUGAACGGGUUUGCCUACCGCAUUCAUUCAAUGCGCGGUCUGCACCGACGUUAUGGUGCAGGCAACAUCGUCCAAAUGCUGAGCGUGCCCGGCGGAAGCCUACAACAGUCAGCAGCCAGUGCCCGUCGUCGGCCUGGUGCACAGAUCAACCGACGAUGACCCGUAGCGGUUGAGAUAUGAUCGGUCCCGGCCUGGAAGAGGCCCGGAGUCGCGGAACCUGCGGAAGGAUCAUUA
rnacentral:rRNA from 1 species